rnacentral:rRNA from 1 species
GACAGAGGGGGCAAGCGUUGCUCGGAAUUACUGGGCGUAAAGGGCGCGUAGGCGGGAUGGCAAGUCGGUCGUGAAAUCCCUCGGCUCAACCGAGGAACGUCGAUCGAUACUGCUGUUCUUGAGGAUUGCAGAGGAGACUGGAAUUCCCGGUGUAGUGGUGAAAUGCGUAGAGAUCGGGAGGAACACCAGUGGCGAAGGCGGCUCGCUGGGCCGGUCCUGACACUGAGACGCGAAGGCGUGGGGAGCGAACGGG